rnacentral:rRNA from 1 species
UACGUAGGGUGCAAGCGUUAAUCGGAAUUACUGGGCGUAAAGCGUGCGCAGGCGGUUGUGCAAGACAGAUGUGAAAUCCCCCGGGCUCAACCUGGGAACUGCAUUUGUGACUGCACAGCUUGAGUGCGGCAGAGGGGGAUGGAAUUCCGCGUGUAGCAGUGAAAUGCGUAGAUAUGCGGAGGAACACCGAUGGCGAAGGCAAUCCCCUGGGCCUGCACUGACGUCAUGCACGAAAGCGUGGGGAGCAAACAGGAU